GGAGCUGGAGCGCAGGAGAGCCUGGCCUGUGUCCGGUGGCGGCAAAGAGGAGCUCCUCUUGUUCCGGGUUUUCCAGAAGAGGCUCAAAGGGUUGAAGAGCGGGGAAGAAAUGCACCGGCAGCAAGAACUGUUCCUUCAAACCAGGGCUGCUUGAUUCUGUGGCCAAAGAGAAGCAGGAAGGCUCUUCUUCCCUGAAGGCUGCAAAAAGCUGGCUCCAUGUGUUUACUGUGAGUGCCUACCAAGGCCUGGUCCUGCCUGAGGCCCUGCAAGACUUCUUCAGCCAAACUUUGACCCAAGUUCUGACCUACAACCCUCAGCUCAAAGUUUCCGAUGCCAUUCCUCUCCAGAGAGAGUGGAGCUUUGCUCGGACAAAUGCGGUGCUCGCCUUGCUCUACCGCAAAUUGUUUGUGCCCUUCAAGCCGGAGGAGUUGGUCCGCCAUUUGCAGCACGUCCUGGAGACGAGCGAAGUCAACUGGCAUCACGUCCUCUCCUGCGUUUCCACGCUGCUGGUCUGCCAGUCGGGAGCCGCACCACUGAUUAAAGACUUCCUGAGCCAUCUGCUGAAGAAAGGCUUUGAGGACUAUGACUUGGAAAGCAUGAUGACGGCGUUCCUGAUCGCGCGCCAGGCUGGCCUGGAGGGUCCUGCCGUUUUCAUGCCUUACGCAGAAUGGUUUAAG